rnacentral:rRNA from 1 species
GACGAACCGAGCAAACGUUAUUCGGAAUCACUGGGCUUAAAGGGCGCGUAGGCGGUCUCGUAAGUCUGCGGUGAAAUCCUCCAGCUCAACUGGAGAACGGCCGUGGAUACUGCGAGUCUCGAGGGAGGUAGGGGCGUGCGGAACAGAUGGUGGAGCGGUGAAAUGCGUUGAUAUCAUCUGGAACUCCGGUGGCGAAGGCGGCACGCUGGACCUCUUCUGACGCUGAGGCGCGAAAGCCAGGGGAGACAAACGGG